rnacentral:rRNA from 1 species
UACGUAGGGGGCGAGCGUUGUCCGGAUUUAUUGGGCGUAAAGAGCUCGUAGGCGGCUGUUCAAGUCGAACGUGAAAACUCGGAGCUCAACUCCGGGCUUGCAUUCGAUACGGGCGGACUAGAGUUCGGUAGGGGAGACUGGAAUUCCUGGUGUAGCGGUGAAAUGCGCAGAUAUCAGGAGGAACACCAAUUGCGAAGGCAGCUCGCUGGGACGUUACUGACGCUGAGACGCGAAAGCGUGGGGAGCAAACAGG